UCUGGUGGUUCAUCGGAGAGGAAACACCUGAUCUCAUUCCGAACUCAGCAGUUAAGCUCUCUUGAGGCGAUGAUACUCGUAAGGGGAAAGUAGCUUGCCGCCAGGU
rnacentral:rRNA from 2 species